rnacentral:pre_miRNA from 1 species
ACUUAUGGAUGAGCAGAAAAAAAGUGAUUUCUUAAGACAGAAUCUACUCUUGGUGAAGAUGCUGUGAA